GAGAACUGACAGUUCGAUAGGUAAAAUGAUGGAGUAACGCCCUGAAGUACCUACCCUAAUACUCCGAAUGGCGUCGAGGUUAUUAAGAACGGAACGGCGUCAUGAGCUCGGUGAAGACGGCUGAGAGCACACCCUAACAGGUCAAGCUGAGGAAAACCGAACAAUAAAAACGUCGAGUGUGUGAUAGGCCGGGGGUCUACAAA
rfam:Desulfotomaculum gibsoniae DSM 7213, complete genome.